rnacentral:tRNA from 1 species
GCGCCUGUGGCUCAACUGGAUAGAGCAUCUGACUUCGGAUCAGAGGGUUGGGGGUUCGAGUCCCUCCGGGCGUG